rnacentral:misc_RNA from 1 species
GAAAUGCGAUAAGUAAUGUGAAUUGCAGAAUUCAGUGAAUCAUCGAAUCUUUGAACGCACCUUGCUCUCCUUGGUAUUCCUUGGAGCAUGCCUGUUUGAGUAUCAUGAAAUCUUCAAAGUAAAUCUUUUGUUAACUCAAUUGGUUUCUACUUUGGUAUUGGAGGUCUUUGCAGCUUCACACCUGCUCCUCUUUGUUCAUUAGCUGGAUCUCAGUGUUAUGCUUGGUUCCACUCGGCGUGAUAAGUUAUCUAUCGCUGAGGACACUGUAAAAGGUGGCCAAGGUAAAUGCAGAUGAACCGCUUCUAAUAGUCCAUUGACUUGGACAAUACUUUUAUGAUCUGAUCUCAAAUCAGGUAGGACUACCCGCUGAACUUAAGC